rnacentral:rRNA from 1 species
UUCGACCUCAAAUCAGGUAGGACUACCCGCUGAACUUAAGCAUAUCAAUAAGCGGAGGAAAAGAAACUAACAAGGAUUCCCCUAGUAACUGCGAGUGAAGCGGGAAAAGCUCAAAUUUAAAAUCUGGCGUGCCUCCGGCCGUCCGAGUUGUAGUCUGGAGAAGCGUCUUCCGCGCUGGACCGUGUACAAGUCCCUUGGAACAGGGCGUCGUAGAGGGUGAGAAUCCCGUCUUUGACACGGACUACCAGUGCUCUGUGAUGCGCUCUCAAAGAGUCGAGUUGUUUGGGAAUGCAGCUCAAAAUGGGUGGUAAAUUCCAUCUAAAGCUAAAUACAGGCGAGAGACCGAUAGCGAACAAGUACCGUGAGGGAAAGAUGAAAAGCACUUUGGAAAGAGAGUUAAACAGUACGUGAAAUUGCUGAAAGGGAAACGCUUGAAGUCAGUCGCGUCCGCCGGGACUCAGCCUUGCUUCUGCUUGGUGCACUUUCCGGUUGGACGGGCCAGCAUCGAUUUUGACUGCCGGAGAAGGGCAGGGGGAAUGUGGCACCUUCGGGUGUGUUAUAGCCCCCUGUUGCAUACGGCGGUUGGGAUCGAGGACCGCAGCACGCCUUCAUGGCCGGGGUUCGCCCACGUACGUGCUUAGGAUGCUGGCAUAAUGGCUUUAAGCGACCCGUCUUGAAACACGGACCAAGGAGUCUAACAUGCCUGCGAGUGUUUGGGUGGAAAACCCGAGCGCGCAAUGAAAGUGAUAGUUGAGACCUCUGUCGUGGAGGGCAUCGACGCCCGGACUUGAUCUACGGAGACGGUUCCGCGGUAGAGCAUGUAUGUUGGGACCCGAAAGAUGGUGAACUAUGCCUGAAUAGGGUGAAGCCAGAGGAAACUCUGGUGGAGGCUCGUAGCGAUUCUGACGUGCAAAUCGAUCGUCAAAUUUGGUAUAGGGCGAA